rnacentral:rRNA from 1 species
UGGGGAAUAUUGGACAAUGGGCGCAAGCCUGAUCCAGCCAUGCCGCGUGAGUGAUGAAGGCCCUAGGGUUGUAAAGCUCUUUCGCCAGGGACGAUAAUGACGGUACCUGGAUAAGAAGCCCCGGCUAACUUCGUGCCAGCAGCCGCGGUAAUACGAAGGGGGCUAGCGUUGUUCGGAAUCACUGGGCGUAAAGCGCACGUAGGCGGAUCUUUAAGUCAGGGGUGAAAUCCCGAGGCUCAACCUCGGAACUGCCUUUGAUACUGGAGGUCUCGAGUCCGGGAGAGGUGAGUGGAACUGCGAGUGUAGAGGUGAAAUUCGUAGAUAUUCGCAAGAACACCAGUGGCGAUGGCGGCUCACUGGCCCGGGUACUGACGCUGAGGUGCGAAAGCGUGGGGAGCGAACAGGAUUAGAUACCCUGGUAGUCCACGCCGUAAACUAUGGGAUGCUAGCCGUUGGGCAGCUUGCUGUUCAGUGGCGCGCUAACGCUUUAANCAUCCCCGCCUGGGGAGUACGGUCGCAAGAUUAAAACUUUAAAAUGAAUUGACGGGGGUCAUAGCUGUUUCCUG